rnacentral:rRNA from 1 species
AUGAUCACAAGAACUGUUAUGAUGCUCCAACUGUUAAUGUCAAAGCACCGUACAAACGUGAAGAUGUACGCCCCACAACUCACUAUUCCAUGUUUACUUAGAAACUACUUCUUCUUCCACCAUCUCUUGCAUGCGGGCCAGCGCAUCAGCGGACUUUUUUUGUUUGUCGGGGCUUUUUUCCCUUCUACUGAUUUUCGGAGUUUUUUUCAUUUGUUUCUUUACUUUUUUUCCUUUUUUUUCUUUCUUUUACCUGUUUAUAAAUUCAUGAAUAUUUUAAAAUUCAUGUUUAUUUCUAAAUUUGUGAUUUUUUUAAAUUCAGACAUUUUAAAAAGAUACCAUUUUUAA